GUGGUCUCCGAUUGUCACUCUGCCAUGGGAAGCUAGUUCGUUACCCCAUAAGUUGCCAAGAUUCUGUGAUCUGCUGGAUAAAAUUCACAGUUUAGCCAUUACCAAAAAAAUAAAAAAAUCACAGUUUAGCAACGGUUUUGAAGGUUGUAAUUUCACUUGGUCGCGGUUCGGACUGAUGUCACUGCUCCUGCUAUCGCUAAAAGUGUG